ACAAUGCGGGACUAUCAGUCUUGCAAUUGGAUUGAGAACAAUGUACAACUCUUAUCGAUAAGCCAUUGGAGGGCAAGUCUGGUGCCAGCAGCCGCGGUAAUUCCAGCUCCAAUAGCGUAUAUUAACGUUGUUGCAGUUAAAAAGCUCGUAGUUGAAGUGUGGGUGAUCGCUGUUGUGAGACUUCGGUCUCUCGACAGUAAGUCACCCCCUUCCAGUAUCCAGUAGUGGGUAUUCAGUUACUUACUACUGUGUGUUGGUCCUUUACUGUGAGAAAAUUAGAGUGUUCAAAGCAGGCGUUUGCUUGAAUAGAUUAGCAUGGAAUAAUAAUUGAAGGCUUUCGUGUUCGAUUUGAUUGGUUUGUUCAUGGAAGCAAGGUUAAAAGGAACAGUUGGGGGUAUUCAUAUUCACUAGUUAGAGGUGAAAUUCUCGGAUUUAUGGAA
rnacentral:rRNA from 1 species